AGUGAAAUGAUUAAAUCCCAAGUUUUUGGCAAUAUAGGCACUUCAUAAGACCAGAUCAGAACGAACCAUCAAUCAUUAAUUUAACCCUUCUAUCGCUUCUUAGGUGGGGUAUCCAUUUUUUCAACUACACUGUUUGGAGGUUAGUCGGGCCGAUAUCAACAACAAUCAUCUAACCAAUCAGCAUUAGGGGGCGUAUGACGGUCGUGGAGACAGAACGAGCAAGAGGGAGAUUUGAAAAAAAAAGAAAAAAAAAAAAAAACGCAGAAAGAGUAAUGAUGAGACAUAAUACAAAACAGCUCACUGGAAUGAAGGUUUAUGACUGAGCAAUUGCUUUAGGACCUGUGUUCAUUUUAGAAAAGCUUUCCAGCGCUGGAGAGAACCUGAAAACAGACACGGAGGCUGCUUUGAACCCGCUUUUCAUUGUAUCAUAAUUUGUGCAUGCAACAAAGAAGAUGUGCAUUUGUGGAUCAGUGUAACACCACACUGGCACCGCCUCCUAUAAAUCCAGCAGAAGUUUCCAAGCUUCAAGCGGCAUUCUUUUAUCAAAGCGAGGUCCUCCAAGGUUACCAAGAGCAACUAAAUAAACUACAGUCUGCUAACAAAUACCUCACGCAUUAUAUCCAGUCGCUUCCAGCCACCACGCCGAAGAUGGUAAGCUUUGCUUUACCUAAUAAGUUUGAUGGUUCAGCGGAGCAAUGCAGAGGGUUUAUUCGUCAAGUUUAAUUUUUUUUUUGAUAAUCAAGACGAUCAGUUUGAGUCUGAUGAAAAGAAGUGUGCCUUUCUCAUGUCUUUGCUCACGGGCAAAGCUAUUGAUUGGGCUCCAGCGGUUUGGGAAUCUGAUAGAUCUUUUUGGACAUCUUACAGCUACUUUACUUUUUUAGCAAAUCUGGGCCGUGUUUGAAUAUCCUGCGGGAGGCAAAGUUAUUUCCUCACAGCUGCUUCAUAUGAGUCAAGGUAACCGCACAGCUGCCGAAUACGCCAUUGAUUUUCGAAAGCUCGCUGCUCAGAGCGGCUGGAAUGAUGUCUUGCUAAAGGCUGUGUUUCAGAAAAGCUUGAACAUUGAAUUACAAACUUGCAAAAGGGAUAACUGUUCCUUUUCUGAAUAUGUGACUCUAGCUAUUAAAAUUGACAAUCUCAUGAGAAAUGCUCUAAGAAAAAGACCAAUGCGUUUUUCACAGCUAUUUAUUCCAGCCAAACAAACAUCACGGUCAUUUAGCCAAGUUUCAUCAACUACAAACCCAUCUGAAAACCAGCCCAUACAAGAGCCCAUGCCACUUGGUUUCACUAAACUCUCUGAAGAAGAAAAACUAUGAUGACGCAUGCACAAUAUUUGCUUCUACUGUGGAGAGGCAGGCCAUCAUAGCACUGAGCUCCGGCCAACCUGGCAUCUCACUCGAGUUAAUGGAUCGGUGCAGUCAGUCUUAAUGGGACAGCAUCCAAAUUUACCUGCUGUCAUUAUUAAUGCUAAUCAAACAACAAAAAAAGAGAGAAAAUCUCUCACUGCUUGCUUUUGUAACUUUAAUAAGAAUAAAUGUAUAUUUAAUUUUCACAGUAAAGACUAUGCAUUGUUUUUUUUAUACCUUUGAUUAUUUUAUACAUUUUCUAGUGCUUGAAGUUUUUUCAUGUAGGUCUAUUUCGUCUGUCUUUGUUCUAUUGUAGUUUGUUUUCUUUUCUAUUUCUUUAUCACAGUUUAUUUGUCUUCCGUAUGCUUAAGUUUUUUAGGCUAGUAUUAUUUUUUUAAAUUAUAUUGAAAUUGAUGAUAAUUAUGAAAUUUCAAUGAUAUGGAAAAUUUUGAUAUCAUAAAAAUCUUAUUUAAAGAAAAAAUAACUAUAUUGUGAUAUAAAGAUUUUGGUCAUAUCGCACAGCCCUAACUGACAGAAGAACUCAGUUUACAUCUCAAGUUUGGAAGGCUUUCUGCAGACAUCUAGACAUCAACAUCAGUCUCACUUCCGGCUACUAUCCCCAAUCGAAUGGACAGGUAGUAAGAUUAAAUCAGGAUAUUGGCAGGUACCUGCGUUAAUACUGUAGUCAUUAACAGAAUUUCAUGAAUGGAAUUUCUACCGGAGGCUGAGUGUGCUCAAAAUUCUCUAACAAAUUUAUCUACCGGAUUAACCCCAUUCCAGUGUGUUGUUGCCGACAUCCCCUUUACCAAUCAGGACAACGGGUCUGGCUCUUUUCAAAGUAUCUUAAGUUGGGGCUACCGACCAGGAAGCUCAGCCCCAGUCCACCCAUCUGCUGACCCCAACACGGAGAACCAAGAACCACCACCACUGCUGGACAUUGAUGGAUCACCAGCAUACAAGGUGACAGAACUACUGGACUUUAGGCGUAGAGGGGGUCAGCUCCAAUAUUUGGUGGACUGGGAGGACUUCGGGCCUGAGGAGAGAUCUUGGGUAGCCGCCCACGACAUCUUGGAUCCCACAGUCAGACAGACCUGCACCUCGGGCACGAGGCAUUACGUCAAAUGAGGAAAGACAGCUGUGCAUCACUGCAUUCACGACUGCAGGUCAAACGUCUCUUGAGUCUCUUCUGACAUCUGGAGCACAAACACCAGACCAGACCACUGAGCAGAGGAGAGAUUUUGUGCUGAAAGAUUUCCUGAGCUCAGAUUCUUCUGGAUUUC